GCUUGCUUCUCGCUGACGAGCGGCGGACGGCUUAGUAAUACUUAGGAAUCUACCUAGUAGUGGGGGAUAGCUCGGGGAAACUCGAAUUAAUACCGCAUACGACCUACGGGAGAAAGGGGGCAACUUGUUGCUCUCGCUAUUAGAUGAGCCUAAGUCGGAUUAGCUAGAUGGUGGGGUAAAGGCCUACCAUGGCGACGAUCUGUAGCUGGUCUGAGAGGAUGAUCAGCCACACCGGGACUGAGACACGGCCCGGACUCCUACGGGAGGCAGCAGUGGGGAAUAUUGGACAAUGGGGGCAACCCUGAUCCAGCCAUGCCGCGUGUGUGAAGAAGGCCUUUUGGUUGUAAAGCACUUUAAGCAGUGAAGAAGACUCCAUGGUUAAUACCCAUGGACGAUGACAUUAGCUGCAGAAUAAGCACCGGCUAACUCUGUGCCAGCAGCCGCGGUAAUACAGAGGGUGCAAGCGUUAAUCGGAAUUACUGGGCGUAAAGCGAGCGUAGGUGGCUUGAUAAGUCAGAUGUGAAAGCCCCGGGCUUAACCUGGGAACGGCAUCUGAUACUGUUAGGCUAGAGUAGGUGAGAGGAAGGUAGAAUUCCAGGUGUAGCGGUGAAAUGCGUAGAGAUCUGGAGGAAUACCGAUGGCGAAGGCAGCCUUCUGGCAUCAUACUGACACUGAGGUUCGAAAGCGUGGGUAGCAAACAGGAUUAGAUACCCUGGUAGUCCACGCCGUAAACGAUGUCUACUAGUCGUUGGGUCCCUUGAGGACUUAGUGACGCAGCUAACGCAAUAAGUAGACCGCCUGGGGAGUACGGCCGCAAGGUUAAAACUCAAAUGAAUUGACGGGGGCCCGC
rnacentral:rRNA from 1 species